GAAUCAAUUGUAUGACCUUGAAAUUGACAAGAUAAACAAGCCAUUUCUUCCAUUGCCAUCUGGGGCAUUUUCCUUUAAAACUGGGGUCAUUGUUACUGCGUCAUCUGCAAUCCUGGGUUUCUUUACCAGCUAUUUGAUAGGUUCAUGGCCAUUAUUUUGGGGUCUUCU